rnacentral:misc_RNA from 1 species
GAUCCGUCCAAUCCUUCCUUUUCUAGAGAUGGAUACCGGCAGCAAGUCGAAGAAGGGCGCCGGUGGCCGGAAGGGCGGCGGUCCGAGGAAGAAGUCGGUCUCUCGCUCAGUGAAAGCCGGCCUCCAGUUCCCCGUCGGUCGUAUCGGACGAUACCUUAAGAAAGGACGCUACGCCAAGCGCACCGGCGCCGGUGCCGCCGUCUACCUCGCCGCCGUCCUCGAGUACCUCGCCGCGGAGGUGCUGGAGCUGGCGGGCAACGCUGCGAAGGACAACAAGAAGAGCCGGAUCAUUCCUAGGCACCUGCUGCUGGCGGUGAGGAAUGAUUUGGAGCUUGGGAAGCUCCUGGCCGGCGUCACCAUCGCUCAUGGUGGCGUACUGCCGAACAUCAAUCCGGUGCUGCUGCCCAAGAAGACCGGCAGCGGCAAGGAGCCGAAAUCGCCGUCCAAGGCCACUAAGUCUCCCAAAAAGGCCUAAAUAGAUCUAGAUCUGGUGUUUGUUGUUGGAUUUGCUGUGUGCUUUCAGAUAGUUGUCUUCUAAUUUGUAUCAAUUGUAGUUUCUUGGGCUUGAUUUGGACUUUAUUUUCAACUCUCUUGUUGGAUCAG